rnacentral:rRNA from 1 species
UACGUAGGGUGCAAGCGUUGUCCGGAAUUAUUGGGCGUAAAGAGCUCGUAGGCGGUCCGUCACGUCGGCUGUGAAAACCUGGGGCUCAACCCCGGGCCUGCAGCCGAUACGGGCGGACUAGAAUUCGGUAGGGGAGACUGGAAUUCCUGGUGUAGCGGUGAAAUGCGCAGAUAUCAGGAGGAACACCGGUGGCGAAGGCAGCUCGCUGGGACGUUACUGACGCUGAGACGCGAAAGCGUGGGGAGCAAACAGG